rnacentral:rRNA from 1 species
AGAUUGAACGCUGGCGGCAUGCCUUACACAUGCAAGUCGAACGGUAGAGUAGCAAUACUUGAGAGUGGCGAACGGGUGAGUAAUAUAUCGGAACGUGCCCAGUCGUGGGGGAUAACGUAGAGAAAUUUACGCUAAUACCGCAUACGAUCUAAGGAUGAAAGCGGGGGACCGUAAGGCCUCGCGCGAUUGGAGCGGCUGAUAUCAGAUUAGGUUGUUGGUGAGGUAAAAAGCUCACCAAGCCGACGAUCUGUAGCUGGUUUGAGAGAACGACCAGCCGCACUGGGACUGAGACACGGCCCAGACUCCUACGGGAGGCAGCAGUGGGGAAUUUGGACAAUGGGCGAAAGCCUGAUCCAGCAAUGCCGCGUGCAGGAAGAAGGCCUUGGUUGUAAACUAGUCUUUGUUACGGUAACGAAACGGUACUGCGUUUAAUUAACAGUAGGCGUAAUAGACGGUACCGUAACGGAAAUAAGACACCGGACUAACGUACGUAGCCACGACAGACCGCCGGUAAUAC